rnacentral:rRNA from 18 species
AUUGGCUCAUAGGGUAGGGUGCGUCGGGACCUUGAAUAAAAAUGAUGGACUCUGGCGGGACUACUGUGGCGCAAGCUGCGGCGGACCUGCUGGGGACUUGAUUUGGCGCUCUUGGUCAGGCCUCGGCCGUCUGGCGCACGAUUAACUACCAACUAUGAACUGGUACGGACAAGGGGAAUCUGACUGUCUAAUUAAAACAUAGCAUUGCGAUGGCCAGAAAGUGGUGUUGACGCAAUGUGAUUUCUGCCCAGUGCUC